UAGAUAGAUGAUAUAUAGAGAGAUAGAUAUUGAUAGAUGAUAGAUGGAUAGUUUCCUGUUUUAUGUCUCUCUCUCUCUCUCUUUCUCUCUCUCUCUCUGUAUGUGUGUGUGUGUGUGUGUGUGUGUGUACACACACACACUACUCCUAA